CGUUGGUUGUGGUCUAAGUUCCUUGGAACAGGACGUCGCAGAGGGUGAGAAUCCCGUACGUGGCCGCCAGCCUUCGCCGUGUAAAGCCCCUUCGAUGAGUCGAGUUGUUUGGGAAUGCAGCUCUAAAUGGGAGGUAAAUUUCUUCUAAAGCUAAAUAUUUGCCAGAGACCGAUAGCGCACAAGUAGAGUGAUCGAAAGAUGAAAAGCACUUUGGAAAGAGAGUCAAAAAGCACGUGAAAUUGUUGAAAGGGAAGCGCUUGCGGCUAGACGUGCCUUUGGUUGAUCAGCCGGACUUUUGCCCGGUGCACUCUUCCUUUGGCAGGCCAGCAUCAGUUUGGGCGGCUGGAUAAAGGUCUGUUAAACGUGACUUCCUUCGGGGAGAGCUUAUAGGGCAGACGACAUGCAGCCAGCCUGAACUGAGGUCCGCGCAUCUGCUAGGAUGCUGGCAUAAUAGCUGUAAGCGGCCCGUCUUGAAACACGGACCAAGGAGUCUAACAUCUAUGCGAGUGUUUGGGUGUCAAGCCCGAGCGCGUAAUGAAAGUAAACGGAGGUGGGAACCUUUACGGUGCACCAUCGACCGAUCUUGAUAAUUUGGAUGGAUUUGAGUAAGAGCAUAGCUGUUGGGACCCGAAAGAUGGUGAACUAUGCCUGAAUAGGGUGAAGCCAGAGGAAACUCUGGUGGAGGCUCGCAGCGGUUCUGACGUGCAAAUCGAUCGU
rnacentral:rRNA from 2 species